rnacentral:rRNA from 1 species
AGUGAACGCUGGCGGUAUGCCUAACACAUGCCAGUCGAACGGCAGCACAGUAAGAGCUUGCUCUUACGGGUGGCGAGUGGCGGACGGGUUAGGAAUACAUCGGAAUCUACUUUUUCGUGGGGGAUAACGUAGGGAAACUUACGCUAAUACCGCAUACGACCUACGGGUGAAAGCAGGGGAUCUUCGGACCUUUCGCGAUUGAAUGAGCCGAUGUCGGAUUAGCUAGUUGGCGGGGUAAAGGCCCACCAAGGCGACGAACCGUAGCUGGUCUGAGAGGAUGAUCAGCCACACUGGAACUGAGACACGGUCCAGACUCCUACGGGAGGCAGCAGUGGGGAAUAUUGGACAAUGGGCGCAAGCCUGAUCCAGCCAUACCGCGUGGGUGAAGAAGGCCUUCGGGUUGUAAAGCCCUUUUGUUGGGAAAGAAAAGCAGCAGGUUAAUACCCCGCUGUUCUGACGGUACCCAAAGAAUAAGCACCGGCUAACUUCGUG